AGCAUUAUUACCGCCAUUACCUGAUGGCGGGACAGCGUUAGCUGCGCAACCAGACCCGCCCAAGAGGCGGGUUUG
rfam:Pseudomonas oryzihabitans strain TSDA-ARS-TSMARC-56511, complete genome.